GUUAGCGAAGUUUAUUAAAACACUAGACUGUGACUCUAGAAAUAGAAAUUUUUAACUUUCUCGCUCACC
rnacentral:tRNA from 1 species